rnacentral:rRNA from 1 species
CCUACGGGAGGCAGCAGUCGAGAAUCAUUCACAAUGGGGGAAACCCUGAUGGUGCGACGCCGCGUGGGGGAAUGAAGGUCUUCGGAUUGUAAACCCCUGUCAUGUGGGAGCAAAUUAAAAAGAUAGUACCACAAGAGGAAGCGACGGCUAACUCUGUGCCAGCAGCCGCGGUAAUACAGAGGUCUCAAGCGUUGUUCGGAAUCACUGGGCGUAAAGCGUGCGUAGGCUGUUUCGUAAGUCGUGUGUGAAAGGCGCGGGCUCAACCCGCGGACGGCACAUGAUACUGCGAGACUAGAGUAAGGGAGGGGGAACCGGAAUUCUCGGUGUAGCAGUGAAAUGCGUAGAUAUCGAGAGGAACACUCGUGGCGAAGGCGGGUUCCUGGACAUUAACUGACGCUGAGGCACGAAGGCCAGGGGAGCGAAAGGGAUUAGAUACCCGAGUAGUC